GGAUUACUAGGUGGGGGAGGGGCGUUGCUAUGGUGAUCGGGAAGGGCGGGGUCAGAUCUGAAUCGCCGCUAUGAGUCACCCGGGCGCUGCCUGGGAAGGGCAGGACUGGGGUGGUGACCAUGCUAACAGCCGGGUGGGAUUUCGCGACAUCGUGGACUGGAGGGACUUUGUGUCUAUGGCAACGAUCGCCUGGCAGAAGGGGCAGAACUAGAUCUCUUCACUUGAGACGCUGACAUUCCAGGCCCUUGUCCUGCAGGCUCCCGCGGGCGGACAC
rnacentral:lncRNA from 1 species